ensembl:lncRNA
AUGGAGCAACGCAAGGUAUCACCGUUACAAGCGUUUCUUUCGCUCUUUGGGAAGUCUACUGUAACAUUACCUUGCCCCAUGGAAUCAGUGAAAUAUGGUUGGACUCCUGAACGAGAGCAUUUAUGUGAGGAUAAGAAACCAGUUCCUCACCAGCAAUCCAGCUGCUCUUCGCCAGCUGUUAUGGCUUGGGACACUUCGUACUACAACGAUGAAGAAGACGAAGAGCUUGCGAGAAAAAGGAGAGAAUUGCAGUUAAUUGAGGAACAAAUAGCUCUCAAGAAGGCUUCCAUUGCUUUGAAAAAGAAUAACCUGCAACGAACGCCCCAGUACUGCGAAAAUGAUGAUGAAAAAGAGGAGGAAGAUGAAGAAUGGGACAAUGAAAUCGAGGUGGAAACGGAACAUGAACAAUCUCCACUAUUCACAAACAAUAACUUUCCACAGAGAUCACCCCAUCAAGAGGUUGUAUCUCUCACAGAAAGACAAAUUAGUAUUCUGAAUGAGUUGACACAGCCAUUUGUUUCCUUUGAACCCUCUAAUCCGGAACCACCUUCAUUUAUGAAAAGUUUUCUGGAGAAAAGAAAUGCAGAAAUCUUUCAAAGAGAUUUGGAGCAGAAACAUGAGGCCCAAUCAGACCUCAAAGCAACCUUUACCCCAGAACACAGAGUUGAAGCUUUGAGACCUCACCGCCACUCAGGGCAUGCACUGCCAUCUCCAGCUUCCAAGCAGAGUCCAGCUGAACAGGCUGAUCCCUUCAGUCUGAAAUGCUCCCAGGAAACACUGAACAGUGGUCCACUUUUGAAGGGCUUUGAUAAUUUCCUCAGCGUCCUUAACCAAGGGGUGGAUGUACAGAGGCUGUCUGACAUAGUGAAUGCGGCUCAGGUUAGAGUUGUGAAUAACAAGCCAGCUGCUCCUAUUCGUGGUGAGACAUGUAGGAGUGUAGAUGUGGACGAUAAAAACUCAAGAGAGAAGUACAGAGAAUUAAAAGACAAGGAAAAGGGGUCCAAAAGGAAGAGAAAGGACUCCAGAGAUGGGAAUAAUCCUUCAAGAGACAAGGACAGACAGUCUAGACACAAUCGAGGAGACUCUGAAAUGAAGGACAUGGCUUCAAGAGGCAGGAGAAGCGACUCUAGAGACCGACACAGGCAUUCAGAUGGCAGGAAAAGCAGAAGGGACUCGAGAGAGAGAGACAGGGGAAGGGACUCAAGAGAGGGAGACAGGGGCUGGAAUUCAAGAGAGGGAGACAGGGGCUGGAAUUCAAGAGAGGGAGACAGGGGCUGGAAUUCAAGAGAGGGAGACAGGGGUUGGGACUCAAGAGAGGGAGACAGGGCCUGGAAUUCAAGAGAGGGAGACAGGGGUUGGGACUCAAGAGAGGGAGACAGGGGCUGGAAUUCAAGAGAGGGAGACAUGAAUUCAAGACACAGGAAGUUGGAGUCGAGAGAUGAUUGCAGGGAUUCAGAAGACAGAGGGAGCAAAUCUAAGAUCUGGGACAGGGAAUUGGGAAAUAGGGACAGGAAUGUGAGAAACAAAGACAAGGACACAAACGACCUUAGACAGGAUUCCCUGAGCCCAAGGAGAAGAUGCUCAAGAGACAGGAGGAGCAGGAGCAGGUCUUCUAGCUCCAUCUCAUCGUCCUCAGAGGGCGAGAGGAAGAUGGAGAAAAAGGAACAUCUCUCGAGGGUCCAGACCCUCCUCCAGAUAGUGGGGGUGGACUUGGGGAUUGAGGGGCUGGACCGACUGAACAGUAGGACCCAAGAGAUGCUCCACGGGACAAAACAUCCAAGUGGCAGAGGGGAUGGUAGGCAGCGACGACGGCACAGGGAAACAGACCUCACUCAAUCAGUACAGGAAGUUACUGGAAGCUACCCUGUCGGCCCUGCUCCCCAGAAUAUGCCCGUAUCCACAUUCUCACAGCCUCCACCAACAAACUAUUCAAGCUAUACAGCGAUGUAUCAUAACUCCUAUGAUGGCCAGGACCGCAGUGCCUCUGUCCAGAGCUGGACUGCUGUUGGGUGGAGUGGAGUGCCGCCUCCUGGCCCUCCCUGUUCCUAUGGCCCACCUCUUGGCAACAUAUUACCAGGGACCCCUCAGUUCACCCCUCCGCCUUUGAUGGUCACAGGCUCCCACAAUGCACCAUACCGGCUUCCACCACCUCAGUAUCCUCCGCACCUGGGACCUCCACCGCUACUACCACCAUCAUCACAACCCCCACGUCAUCUACCUCCACCCCCACAAUCCUCAUGUCAACUGCCUCCACCUCCCCACUGCCUGCCGCCCCCGUGUCCAACACUCCUACCUCCACCUCAUCUGCCUCUACGACCACCACCACCACAACCCCCACCUCAUCUUCCUCCACCGCUUCUCCCAGCUCUUCCACCCGCGCCACCCAAACGGGUGACAGCUGAGCCAAAUCUCAUGGUGGCAGAGAUGCAGGGGUCAUCAGAGAAGACCUUGACAGCAGCAGGCCGCCCACCUUCUCCACAAGAAAGUGAACCACCAGGGGAGAGCGAGGACGAUUCCAUAGAUUACGCUGUGUUGUGCAGGAGUUACAAGUAUUCAAAAGAACUUAUUGUUGCUUCUCAUCCCGAGUCGCAAGCUAAGCUCACCAAGAGGGAACUAAGAUAUCUGGCCUGGAGGAUCACCAAGAAGGCUAAGAAGGUUGAGAAUAAGGAUGCUGUCUGCACAUGCUAUGGCUAUGGGUGCAAACACUGCAGCGAUGAUGUCACUGCACGUCCUGCUAAGCGUGGUAGAACACUAAGGGCUAGGCGGAAGAUGGCGAAGGAAAGACGUAGAUGGGAAAAAUGGAUAAAUCAGAAGGCCGCUCCGGCUGUGGCUGGGACUGCUACUGCGACUGUUGUGGCUUCGGCAGGUAAUACUGUGACCACUGAUGGUCCUCCAGCUUCCAAAGCUAAUGAGCAGCAACAGCCAGGAAACACGCAAUAAGCACAGGGAAGCUGAGCUAGCAGUAGCAAAAACAAAAACCCAGACAUGAUUGGAUGAACUCAGUAAAGACAUGGAAGGAUAACAGAGAGUAAUAUUGACCUUGAUUGGCUGAUAAAGAAACCGUGAGGAUACAUGCGGUGACCUAUCGCUGACUUCUGCCCACAUGACUGGACAUGUUUGAGAGAACAUCCAUUCUUUUUCCGUUCUGCCAUAAUCUGUUGAAGUAUCUUGUUCUUUGAUCUGUUUCCACACAUGACUUUUGAUCAUAGAUGUUUGUAAACGAUCUCAGUACCAUAUAGGGAAUCCCCACACUCAGAGAAUGUGUAUUUCCAUUUUUAAUUUAAUUAAUCUCAUAUUUCCUACAUGUACCUUCAUGUGUUUGUAACAUUUGACUUGUAAUUUCUUUCUGUUGUCUGUCUGUAGGAAUAAAGUUACAAACAUUGCUGCUUCCA